CUCCAUUUCUGUAUUGUCUAGGGCUGCUUUUGCACUACAGUGGCAGAGCUGAGUAGUUGUGACAGAGACUGAACGUGGCCCUCAAAGGCUAAAAUAUUGACUAGCUGGCCCUUUACAGAAAAAACUUUACCAACUCCUGGAACGUUGGGAAGUUGGUAUGUAUAGAACUCUAGGAAUGGCUGGGGAAACAAACAUCAUGGGCAAGUACUGCUGGUUUUCAGGGGGUCAAGAGGCUACAGAAAUUGCAGGAAUACUGGCCCCAUUGAUCUCAGGAUUUGCCCCAUCAAAUCAGGUGAUUGCUUGCAAGCCUCAUGUCUACGGACUGAUAUGCCAGCCAUUUCCAAAGGGAAAGGGCUUCCCUUCCAUCUUCAAUCUGGAAGGGAGGUGCAAAUGCCCCUCCCUCACUGGAAGAGUUUGGAUGAAACCAGUUGUCUUUUCCCAGCUUUCGUCCUUGAUACAGAGGUGCUGCUUGAAUUUGCUUCACCACGGCAGGCCGUCGCGGAAAUAUGUGCGUGGGAGUUACGUCCUCGAACAAUGGAGCGUCUCAAUCAGUAGGGAACAACGGAACCAAGAGCCCAGGAAGGAGGAAUGGAGCUGGAGCUGA
rnacentral:lncRNA from 1 species